AUCCUUGUGUGGCUCAUAAGCAUGGUGAUUGGGUCUUCACAUGCUUAUGUAAGAUGUGCCUCCCUCAAACAUUGUUAUGAUGUCAGCACAUUACCUGUCUGACA
ensembl:snoRNA